rnacentral:rRNA from 1 species
AUUGAACGCUGGCGGCAGGCCUAACACAUGCAAGUCGAGCGGAGCGGCGGACGGGUGAGUAAUUCCUAGGAAUCUGCCUGUUCGUGGGGGAUAACGUCCGGUAACGGGCGCUAAUACCGCCUCCUCUCAGAUGCGCCUAGGUCGGAUUGGCUAGUUGGUGGGGUAAAGGCCUACCAAGGCGACGAUCCGUAGCUGGUCUGAGAGGAUGAUCAGUCACACUGGAACUGAGACACGGUCCAGACUCCUACGGGAGGCAGCAGUGGGGAAUAUUGGACAAUGGGCGAAAGCCUGAUCCAGCCAUGCCGCGUGUGUGAAGAAGGUCUUCGGAUUGUAAAGCACUUUAAGUGGGGAGGCGUUACCCGCAGAAUAAGCACCGGCUAACUCCGUGCCAGCAGCCGCGGUAAUUC